UGCAAAAGUACACAUGGUGUGGUAUUGAUUUGGUCCAUCUUUCAUUAAUCAUUAUAUAUCUAUAAGAUGAGCCGAAUCAAUAUCACUCUUGUUUGCUUCAUU
rfam:Lupinus angustifolius cultivar Tanjil chromosome LG15, whole genome shotgun sequence.